rnacentral:rRNA from 1 species
AUUGAACGCUGGCGGCAGGCCUAACACAUGCAAGUCGAACGAGUGGCGGACGGGUGAGUAUUGUCUGGGAAACUGCCUGAUGGAGGGGGAUAACUACUGGAAACUGUAGCUAAUACCGCAUACCAUCAGAUGUUCCCUGGUGGGUUUAGCUAGUUGGUGGGGUAACGGCUCACCAAGGCGACGAUCCCUAGCUGGUCUGAGAGGAUGACCAGCCACACGGGAACUGAGAAACGGUCCAGACUCCGACGGGAGGCAGCAGUGGGGAAUAUUGCACAAUGGGCGCAAGCCUGAUGCAGCCAGGCCGCGUGGAUGAAGAAGGCCUUCGGGUUGUAAAGUACUUUCAGCGGGGAGGCGUUACCCGCAGAAGAAGCACCGGCUAACUCCGUGCCAGCAGCCGCGGUAAUUC